rnacentral:rRNA from 1 species
UCGGGAAUAUUGCACAAUGGAGGAAACUCUGAUGCAGUGACGCCGCGUGCAGGAAGAAGGUUUUCGGAUUGUAAACUGCUUUAGACAGGGAAGAACAAGGACAGUACCUGUAGAAUAAGCUCCGGCUAACUACGUGCCAGCAGCCGCGGUAAUACGUAGGGAGCAAGCGUUAUCCGGAUUUAUUGGGUGUAAAGGGUGCGUAGACGGGUAUAUAAGUUAGUUGUGAAAUCCCUCGGCUCAACUGAGGAACUGCAACUAAAACUGUAAAUCUUGAGUGCGGGAGAGGAAAGUGGAAUUCCUAGUGUAGCGGUGAAAUGCGUAGAUAUUAGGAGGAACACCAGUGGCGAAGGCGACUUUCUGGACCGUAACUGACGUUGAGGCACGAAAGUGUGGGGAGCAAACAGG